CCUGACAGCCACACCAUCCUGAUGACACUCGAUCUAUUCUAUCCUGACCUCAGAAGCUAACCAGGGUCAGGCACAGUUAGUACUUGUAUGGGAGACAAUCUGAGAAUACUGGGGGCUGUAGGCU
rnacentral:rRNA from 1 species